GCCCUUAUGGUGAAAUGGUAGACACUCAUGACUUAAAAUCAUGUGCUUAUUGCGUGUCAGUUCGAUUCUGGCUAAGGGCA
rnacentral:tRNA from 1 species